rnacentral:misc_RNA from 1 species
UUCUCUGGUCUAAUUGCAAGCAGCAUUUAUGACCGAGAGGCUGAAAGGCAGGCUCAUGAGCAUCAUCACCACAAGUGUGAAGGUGCUGUAUGCUUCUUCCUUACUUCCAUGAUUAUGUCAGUUUUCUGCAUAAUUGCGGUUGUCUUGAGCAUGAUUCUUGUGCAUCGGACUAAGAUCGUCUAUGCAAACCUCUAUGGAAAAUCUCGUACUUGAUUUUGGGAAGAGAACUAAACCAGGCUCUUAUAACUAGAGUACUUCAUCCAUUUUACAGUGGUGUUUGUAUACUCCAAGCAAGGUUUUUAGAAAUUCUUAAUGUUUUUUUUUUCUUGGAACACAUUGCUAGAAGACAGAAAAGUGAAGCAUACUCCAGAGGAACUCUCAACUGAAGUCUCUGUUUUUCGUUUACUUUUUAUAUAUAAUAUUUGUAACCUGGGUGCAGCCAUUUAGUCACAGGAGAUUAGCUUUGGAAUGUUGGAAUAUUGUAUAUUUUUUUCAUAUUCUAUUUGCAGAAUCAAUCUUUUUUUUAGACUGAAGCAAAAAAAUA